AGACAAAACCUUGAUGAAAGCCU
rnacentral:siRNA from 1 species